rnacentral:hammerhead_ribozyme from 1 species
ACCAGCUGACGAGUCCCAAAUAGGAUGAAACGCGCGUUUUGGAU